rnacentral:tRNA from 1 species
CCGACCUUAGCUCAGUUGGUAGAGCGGAGGACUGUAGUGCGUGCAGAUAAAUCCUUAGGUCGCUGGUUCGAAUCCGGCAGGUCGGA